CACCAUCUUCUGUGAAGUCACACUAACAGUCUGUAGAUGUCUGAUAAAUGUCGUUGUUCAUCCCUGAUAUGGCUGGUCAUCUGUUUCUGGUCAUCCUCCUUUUCGAUCAGAAUGACUACUGCUUGACAACAUGCCCAUGGAUCCAUUGUAGUAUAUAAUACUUUACCAACUUCUACAAAGUGUUCUUGUCUAUCGUGCUAUUUUUGAAUGGCACAUUUACCUGAUCACGACCUAUUGUGUUAUUUCCAGUCACCUUCCAAUACAUUGAAGCCCAAGGUCCUUUCCUGACACCACCUGUAUGUUGGAGAGGAGAGUCAGCCAUCCUUCACAGCAAAGAUCAUGAAGAGAAAAGCCACCUCAGCAUCCGGACAGCAGUUCUGUCAAUUCACUCCAAAACAUAGUGAUCUGAUCAGUCGUCUACAGUCAGUGAGGAGUGAGGAGGUGAGCUGUGACUACAGAUUGAGCUCAGGACCAAACUCUCUCUCUCCACGCAGUGAUGGGUACAACUUUACAGAUCUGGUGGGAGUUAACAUUAGUGAUCCAACAACUAAACCCUUUCCAGCAGGUUUGACCCCCAGUACAGCAGUGAAUCCAUCAUCAGGUUCGGCUGUUAGUUCUACUUUGACCACUGACACUCCAAGUAAAGGUAAGUAUAUUCACUACAUUUUAGUCUGUGAUAAAACGUGUUGUAGUUGUUGAUAAAGGGUAUCUCUCUUCCAUGGGCACAUGAGGUCAAAGCUCCACAGACAUUGUUGUGAAUUCAAACAGUCAAGAAAGCGCUCCAGGAGGUCAAAGCUCCACAGAAAGCGUUCUGGCAGGUUUGACUGUUACUUCUACUUUGUCCCCUGGCAUCACAGUGACAACAACUUCUGUGCAAUCAUGGCAGGCAGCAGUGGGUGUGGCUUCAGGAGUGGGUGUGUUCCUGAUGGGAUUGACAGCUAUCUGUCUCUGCUGGA